AGCGUGCGCAGGCGGUUUUGUAAGACUGUCGUGAAAUCCCCGGGCUCAACCUGGGAAUGGCGAUGGUGACUGCAAGGCUAGAGUUUGGCAGGAGGGGGGGUAGAAUUCCACGUGUAGCAGUGAAAUGCGUAGAUAUGUGGAGGAACACCGAUGGCGAAGGCAGCCCCCUGGGUCAAAACUGACGCUCAUGCACGAAAGCGUGGGGAGCAAACAGGAUUAGAUACCCCUGU
rnacentral:rRNA from 1 species